AUUGAACGCUAGCGGCAGGCCUAACACAUGCAAGUCGAGCGAGCGGCGGACGGGUGAGUAAUGUAUGGGGACUGCCCGAUAGAGGGGGAUAACUACUGGAAACAGUGGCUAAUACCGCAUACUAUCGGAUAACCCAUAUUGGAUUAGCUAGUAGGGGGGGUAAAGGCUCACCUAGGCGACGAUCCCUAGCUGGUCUGAGAGGAAGAUCAGCCACACUGGGACUGAGACACGGCCCAGACUCCUACGGAGGCAGCAGUGGGGAAUUUUGGACAAUGGGCGAAAGCCUGAUCCAGCCAUGCCGCGUGUAUGAAGAAGGCCUUAGGGUUGUAAAGUACUUUCGGCGGGGAGGCGUUAUCUGCAGAAGAAGCACCGGCUAACUACGUGCCAGCCGCCGCGGUAAUUC
rnacentral:rRNA from 1 species